rnacentral:rRNA from 1 species
UACGUAGGGACCAAGCGUUGUUCGGAUUUACUGGGCGUAAAGGGCGCGUAGGCGGCGUGACAAGUCACUUGUGAAAUCUCUGGGCUUAACCCAGAACGGCCAAGUGAAACUGUUGUGCUAGAGUGCGGAAGGGGCAAUCGGAAUUCUCGGUGUAGCGGUGAAAUGUGUAGAUAUCGAGAGGAACACCAGAGGUGAAGACGGGUUGCUGGGCUGACACUGACGCUGAGGCGCGAAAGCCAGGGGAGCAAACGGG